UGGGGAAUAUUGCACAAUGGGCGCAAGCCUGAUGCAGCCAUGCCGCGUGUGUGAAGAAGGCCUUCGGUUGUAAAGCACUUUCAGCGAGGAGGAAGGUGGUGAGCUUAAUACGCUCAUCAAUUGACGUUACUCGCAGAAGAAGCACCGGCUAACUCCGUGCCAGCAGCCGCGGUAAUACGGAGGGUGCAAGCGUUAAUCGGAAUUACUGGGCGUAAAGCGCACGCAGGCGGUUUGUUAAGUCAGAUGUGAAAUCCCCGGGCUCAACCUGGGAACUGCAUUUGAAACUGGCAAGCUAGAGUCUCGUAGAGGGGGGUAGAAUUCCAGGUGUAGCGGUGAAAUGCGUAGAGAUCUGGAGGAAUACCGGUGGCGAAGGCGGCCCCCUGGACGAAGACUGACGCUCAGGUGCGAAAAGCGUGGGGAGCAAAACAGGAUUAGAUACCCUGGUAGUCCACGCUGUAAACGAUGUCGAUUUUGGAGGUUGUGCCCUUGAGGCGUGGCUUCCGGAGCUAACGCGUUAAAUCGACCGCCUGGGGAGUACGGCCGCAAGGUU
rnacentral:rRNA from 1 species